rnacentral:antisense_RNA from 1 species
UUCUAUGGGCGGGCCUUGGCGGGGGAGCCUUCGGGCUCGCCGGUGCCUACGUUCCGGUACGCCAACCCCGUCAUGCGCCCGCUCACCCCG